GAUGAAGAACGCAGCGAAAUGCGAUAAGUAGUGUGAAUUGCAGAAUUCAGUGAAUCAUCGAAUCUUUGAACGCACAUUGCGCCCCUUGGUAUUCCAUGGGGCAUGCCUGUUCGAGCGUCAUUUGUACCUUCAAGCUUUGCUUGGUGUUGGGUGUUUGUCCCUCGGGACUCGCCUUAAAGUCAUUGGCAGCCAGUGUUUUGGUUUUGAAGCGCAACACAAGUCGCGAUUCAAGGCUAUCCGCCCGCUUCCACAAGCCUUUUUCACUUUUGACCUCGGAUCAGGUAGGGAUACCCGCUGAACUUAAGCAUAUCAAUAAGCGGAGGA
rnacentral:misc_RNA from 1 species